UAGAAUUUAACCAAACACUAUGUAAGUCCAGCUAAUAGUUUCUGCUGGUUAAGCAGCCUCAAUUAAACGAUGUGUUGUCUUUUUUCUGAGGUAGCAAUGAACUGCAACUCUCAGAAGAAAAAAAGGGGAAAAAGUAAUUAAUAAUGAACUGCUGAUUGUAAAUAGACAUAUUUUGAAGGAAUGUUUUAUGGAUUUUCUUUUUCAAUUGAAGAAAAUUUAUUGAAGUUUCUUUAAUUUUGGUCUGUUUAUGUAGUUGCAAUCAACUUUCAUCAUUG
rnacentral:misc_RNA from 1 species